CGCUGGCGGCAGGCCUAACACAUGCAAGUCGAGCGGUAGCACAGAGAGCUUGCUCUCGGGUGACGAGCGGCGGACGGGUGAGUAAUGUCUGGGAAACUGCCUGAUGGAGGGGGAUAACUACUGGAAACGGUAGCUAAUACCGCAUAAUGUCGCAAGACCAAAGUGGGGGACCUUCGGGCCUCAUGCCAUCAGAUGUGCCCAGAUGGGAUUAGCUAGUAGGUGGGGUAACGGCUCACCUAGGCGACGAUCCCUAGCUGGUCUGAGAGGAUGACCAGCCACACUGGAACUGAGACACGGUCCAGACUCCUACGGGAGGCAGCAGUGGGGAAUAUUGCACAAUGGGCGCAAGCCUGAUGCAGCCAUGCCGCGUGUGUGAAGAAGGCCUUCGGGUUGUAAAGCACUUUCAGCGGGGAGGAAGGCGAUAAGGUUAAUAACCUUGUCGAUUGACGUUACCCGCAGAAGAAGCACCGGCUAACUCCGUGCCAGCAGCCGCGGUAAUACGGAGGGUGCAAGCGUUAAUCGGAAUUACUGGGCGUAAAGCGCACGCAGGCGGUCUGUCAAGUCGGAUGUGAAAUCCCCGGGCUCAACCUGGGAACUGCAUUCGAAACUGGCAGGCUAGAGUCUUGUAGAGGGGGGUAGAAUUCCAGGUGUAGCGGUGAAAUGCGUAGAGAUCUGGAGGAAUACCGGUGGCGAAGGCGGCCCCCUGGACAAAGACUGACGCUCAGGUGCGAAAGCGUGGGGAGCAAACAGGAUUAGAUACCCUGGUAGUCCACGCCGUAAACGAUGUCGAUUUGGAGGUUGUGCCCUUGAGGCGUGGCUUCCGGAGCUAACGCGUUAAAUCGACCGCCUGGGGAGUACGGCCGCAAGGUUAAAACUCAAAUGAAUUGACGGGGGCCCGCACAAGCGGUGGAGCAUGUGGUUUAAUUCGAUGCAACGCGAAGAACCUUACCUGGUCUUGACAUCCACAGAACUUUCCAGAGAUGGAUUGGUGCCUUCGGGAACUGUGAGACAGGUGCUGCAUGGCUGUCGUCAGCUCGUGUUGUGAAAUGUUGGGUUAAGUCCCGCAACGAGCGCAACCCUUAUCCUUUGUUGCCAGCGGUUCGGCCGGGAACUCAAAGGAGACUGCCAGUGAUAAACUGGAGGAAGGUGGGGAUGACGUCAAGUCAUCAUGGCCCUUACGACCAGGGCUACACACGUGCUACAAUGGCAUAUACAAAGAGAAGCGACCUCGCGAGAGCAAGCGGACCUCAUAAAGUAUGUCGUAGUCCGGAUUGGAGUCUGCAACUCGACUCCAUGAAGUCGGAAUCGCUAGUAAUCGUAGAUCAGAAUGCUACGGUGAAUACG
rnacentral:rRNA from 1 species